rnacentral:rRNA from 1 species
UACGUAGGGUGCGAGCGUUAAUCGGAAUUACUGGGCGUAAAGGGUGCGCAGGCGGUUCUGCAAGUCAGGCGUGAAAGCCCCGGGCUUAACCUGGGAAUGGCAUUGGAAACUGGCGAGCUGGAGUGUGGCAGAGGGGGGUGGAAUUCCGCGUGUAGCAGUGAAAUGCGUAGAGAUGCGGAGGAACACCGAUGGCGAAGGCAGCCCCCUGGGCCAACACUGACGCUCAGGCACGAAAGCGUGGGGAGCAAACAGG